UAGGGAAUAUUGGGCAAUGGGCGAAAGCCUGACCCAGCCAUGCCGCGUGAGCGAUGACGGUCCUCGAGAUUGUAAAGCUCUUUUCUGAGGAAAGAACAUCCAGGGUAGGAAAUGACCCUGGCUUGACGGUACCUCAGGAAUAAGGAACGGCUAACUCCGUGCCAGCAGCCGCGGUAAUACGGAGGUUCCAAGCGUUGUUCGGAAUUACUGGGCGUAAAGGGAGCGCAGGCGGACAAGUCAGUCUGAAGUGAAAUCCCGGGGCUCAACCUCGGACUUGCUUCGGGUACUGCUUGUCUUGAGUUCGUGAUAGGAAGAUGGAAUUCAGGGUGUAGCGGUGAAAUGCACAGAUAUCCUGAGGAACACCGGUGGCGAAAGCGGUCUUCUGGCGCGAAACUGACGCUGAGGCUCGAAAGCGUGGGUAGCAAACG
rnacentral:rRNA from 1 species